rnacentral:rRNA from 1 species
CUACGUAGGGGGCGAGCGUUGUCCGGAAUGAUUGGGCGUAAAGGGCGCGUAGGCGGCCCGGUAAGUCUGGAGUGAAAGUCCUGUUUUUAAGAUGGGAAUUGCUUUGGAUACUGUCGGGCUUGAGUGCAGGAGAGGUAAGUGGAAUUCCCAGUGUAGCGGUGAAAUGCGUAGAGAUUGGGAGGAACACCAGUGGCGAAGGGGACAUACUGGGCCGUAACUGACGCUGAGGCGCGAAAGCGUGGGGAGCAAACAGGAUUAGAUACCCUGGUUGUUCACGCUGUAAACGAUGAAUACUAGGUGUGGGGGGACUGACCCCCUCCGUGCCGCAGUUAACACAAUAAGUAUUCCACCUGGGGAGUAAGAUCGCAAGAUUGAAACUCAAAGGAAUUGACGGGG